AUGGCGUCGUGGAUUCGGCGUGAUUGACGGCGGUUCGUGGAUUCGGAUCGUUGGCUCGUGGAUUCGAGUGGCGUUCGUGGAUUCGGACGUGUGCGAGGCGUUCAUGGAUUCGAACGUGUGGGCGUGGACAACCCGGAGGAUUGCGCGAGGUUCAUAGGAGGUUAAGAGAGGUUGAGUCCGUGGAGUCGGUAAUCACCUUAUAAUCUUUUCUCUUAGUGAAUUAUUUUUUUCACGUGUUGGUCCCGUGGGUUUUUCUCCAAGUUAGAGUUUUCCCACGUAAAUCUCGGUGUGAUUUUUAUUUUUCGCAUUUAUUUUUAUCGCAUUGAGAUUUGUGGUUUUUGGCUUUUUCACCUAUUCACCCCCCUCUAGGUGAUAGAUACAAUCUAGAUAGAUUCUUGGGCUCCUCAAAACUUUCAAUUGGUAUCAGAGCGAGAUCUAGAUAAAUUGUUAUCUAAUGGCCGAA
rnacentral:lncRNA from 1 species